CCGGCCACCGACCACACACUCACCCGGGGGAGUGUGGAUGGACAUAGGUGUCACGGACAUGCGCCUCAGAGCUGGGAUUCUGGGCUGGACAGAUGGGCUGGCUUCGGGCCGGAGCAAGAGAGGAUAAAGGAAGGGGUCAGGAGGAGAACAGGACAUCAUCGAACAGAACGGAACCCGAACUCAUCUUCCACCUGUCCAUGAACUCUACCUGCUGUUUUUGCUACUUGUGAUUCUAUGCUAUCUCCUACCUAAAUCCCUUCAAUUCUUAUGUGAUUGUACUCUCAAACCAUCAACUAUUGCUAUUAUUGUAAUCUGGCGGCUUAGGAUCGUAACAAUUGGUAAUCAGAGCCUCGUUCCAUCCGAAUCCACCCAUCCCCCCCCCC
rnacentral:lncRNA from 1 species